CCUACGGGAGGCAGCAGUGGGGAAUAUUGCACAAUGAGGGAAACCCUGAUGCAGCGACGCCGCGUGAGUGAAGAAGUAUCUCGGUACGUAAAGCUCUAUCAGCAGGGAAGAAAAUUACGGUACCUGACUAAUAAGCCCCUGCUAACUACGUGCCAGCAACCGCGGUCAUACGUAGGGGGCGAGCGUUAUCCGGAUUUACUGGGUGUAAAGGUAGCGUAGACGGCAGCACAAGUCUGGAGUGAAAGCCCGGGGCUUAACCCCGGGACUGCUUUGGAAACUGUGAGGCUGGAGUGAAGGAGGGGUAAGCGGAAUUCCUAGUGUAGCGGUGAAAUGCGUAGAUAUUAGGAGGAACACCGGUGGCGAAGGCGGCUUACUGGACUGUAACUGACGUUGAGGCUCGAAAGCGUGGGGAGCAAACAGGAUUAGAUACCCGGGUAGUC
rnacentral:rRNA from 1 species